UACGGAGGGGGCUAGCGUUAUUCGGGAUUAUUGGGCGUAAAGGGCGUGUAGGCGGCUUCGUAAGUCUCAUUGUGAAAGCCCUCGGCUCAACCGAGGAACUGCAUGGGAAACUGCGGAGCUUGAGUCCGGGAGAGGAGAGCGGAAUUCCCAGUGUAGCGGUGAAAUGCGUAGAUAUUGGGAGGAACACCGAUGGCGAAGGCAGGUCUCUGGGCCAUAACUGACGCUGAGAAGCGAAAGCAUGGGGAGCGAACAGG
rnacentral:rRNA from 1 species